AAGCUUCCCAGGCCCAUUAGUUCCCACACUCUCCUGCUGCCUUGCACUACUCAUAACAUUGCUACCCUCUUAAAGCAUGACCUUGUCCUUAAGGCUGAAUGUGGGGAACUGGUUUCUGAAAUCAAUUAAAUCCAUCCAAGUAGCCUCAUCCAAGGAUUACCCUUCCAUUGAACUAAAAUUUGAGUAAUUGGAGAAUGCUGAUCUGAAAUAACCCUCUGCUUCAAAAUAUGCUCAGGUUCAAUUAAUGGCUCAUCAACAACCAUAUCAUGAGGCUACAACAUCAUGAAUGCCUACUGCCUUUUUUAACUGAGAUACGUGGAAUACUGGAUGAAUGCGAGCUUCAGGAGGUAGCUGUAGUUUAUAAGCCACAAAUCCAAUUUUUCCCACAAUAGUAAAAGGGCCAUAAUAUCAAGCAGCCAAUUUUGGAACUACUCAAGCAUGAGCUGAUAUUUGUCUAUGGGGUUUAAAUUUCAAGAACACAAAAUCACCAUUCUCAAAUGUUACCUCCUGGCGGGGAGCAUUAGCCGCCUUCAACAUUCGUUGUUGGGCUCGUUGGAGAUUGUAUUGCAGUUGCCUCAACAUUGUAUCACUAUCGAAUAACUCUUGCGAUACUGCCUCAAUCUUUUUUUCUCCCGGCAUGAAUUUGGGAAUGGAAGGAGGACAUCUGCCAUACACAACUUGGAAUGGGGUCAUGCCCGUAGCAGUAUGAAAGCUAGUAUUGAACUAAUAUUCAGCCCAAUGCAACCAUUUACUCCAAUGUUUCGGUUGUUGUGAAGUAAAGCAUCUCAGAUAAGUUUCAAGGCAGCAAUUUGAAACUUUCGUUUGUCCAUCUGUUUUCGGAUGAUGGGCUAUGGUUAUAAUGAGACUAGUGCCCUGUAAUCUCAAAACCUCUUGCAAGAAAUUACUAAGGAAAACAGGAUCUCUGUCACUGACAAUGGAUUCAGGCAUGCCAUGUAACCGAAUAAUCUCCAUGGUAAAAAUCUUUGCUGUUGUCUUGGCGGUAAAAGGGUGAGUGACCAUAUUUAGAGAGUUUAUCCGUGACAACUAAAAUACAAUCUAUUCCGUGAGAUCUUGGCAGCCCA
rnacentral:misc_RNA from 1 species